rnacentral:rRNA from 1 species
UUAACAAAAACAUGUCUUUUUGCUUAUACUUUAAAGUCUGAUCUGCCCAAUGAGUAAUUAAAUGGCCGCGAUAUUUUGAUCGUGCGAAGGUAGCAUAAUCAUUAGCUUUUUAAUUGAGAGCUGGUAUGAAUGAUUGGACGAGAAAUUGACUGUCUCAAUUUUAUUUUUUGAACUUUAUUUUUGAGUUAAAAAGCUUAAAUGUUAGUGUGGGACGAGAAGACCCUAUAGAGUUUAAUAUUUUUAUUAGUUAUUAGAGUUAUAGGUAUUUAUUUUUUUUUGAUUAAUAAAAAUAUUUAGUUGGGGUGACAGAAAAAUUUAAUUAACUUUUUCUCUUUUUAAAUAUAGAUUAAUAGAUUAUUGACUUAAAAUUAUAGUUAUAAGAUUAAAUUACCUUAGGGAUAACAGCGUUAUUUUUCUUAAGAGUUCUUAUCGAAAGAAAAGAUUGCGACCUCGAUGUUGGAUUAAAGUUAAAACCUUGGUGUAGAAGCUAAGUUAUUUAGUCUGUUCGACUAUUAAAACUUUACAUGAUCUGAGUU